rnacentral:lncRNA from 1 species
AUCAAGUUCGUAACUCUUGAUGCCAAUUAACAUUUCACUAUCAUAGUUUUCCAAGUUUCAAGUCUUGGAUUAGAUUCCAAUUAUUUCCUUUCCAAUAUCAUAUUUCAAAUGAUAUUCACUUAGUACCAUACAUAUGGUAUUUAAUUACACAUACCAUCCUAUCAACACUUGAAUCAUAAUAUAAUAACCAUAAUAUAAAAUUUAACCGAAUUGAUUUAGG